rnacentral:misc_RNA from 1 species
UCCGAGUUGACCCCGGCAGUCUCCUAUGAGUCCCCACCAUCACGUGCUGGCAACAUAGGACGAGGGUUGCGCUCGUUGCGGGACUUAACCCAACAUCUCACGACACGAGCUGACGACAACCAUGCACCACCUGUGCACGGCCCUUACGGACCCCCCAUCUCUGGAGGGUUCCUGGCAUGUCAAGGGUAGGUAAGGUUUUUCGCGUUGCAUCGAAUUAAUCCACAUAAUCCACCGCUUGUGCGGGUCCCCGUCAAUUCCUUUGAGUUUUAGCCUUGCGGCCGUACUCCCCAGGCGGAGUGCUUAACGCGUUAGCUACGGCGCCGCAGGGGUCAAUACCCGCGACACCUAGCACUCAUCGUUUACGGCGUGGACUAC